ACGCUAUUGUGAAUUCCACGGAGA
rnacentral:siRNA from 1 species